rnacentral:lncRNA from 1 species
CACAUACUGAUCAAUAACACAAGUGUAUACACAUACAUGAUUUCAAUUGCACCAAUAAAAUUUACAUUAGUUACAUAUCAAAAAUCUUUCACUUGGAAACAAACGGUGGUUGAAGCCUUCUGCUGCAUUAUCUAAGUCGGCCUGUAGCAUUGUAAGAGAACUCUGCUGCAACGGCAUUCACUGUAUCAGCUCUUGUGCGAGAAUUGCAAAAGAAAUGAGAGAUGAGCACAAAUUCACUCACCUGAUCAUUGAGUUUCCUGCAGCCAUAGCUACUGCUUCAGCAGAAUUCAUUGAAGAGGAAACACAUUCCAAAAAAUAAAGUUCACAUACCGAGUUUGACAGUAGUCAGGAGCGAAAACAAACUAUUGACACUAUCACCUCUUGAUUUCCAAUGUGCUCCAGCUUAAACCAGGGAAGCAAACGCCCACGGUCAAAUAUCAAUUUGCAUCGAAAAAAUCGAAAUUAGGCUGUAAAAGCAGCAUCAAAGAUAAAUGAGCUCCAAAACUUCCAAUGAUGUCUGCAUAUCCCUGUGCGUUUCCUCGUCAACGGAACGGAGAGCUCCGCAAACGUGCCAGGCACCUCGACGGUAGACAACAGAGGCAGCCAAUACGAUAUCUCAGUCUCUAUAUACGUUCAUUGGAACGAUUGAAUUUGAAUACAAGGAAGAGUAGGUGUGAGAACUCCAUUGGUGCAUCAACAUAGGAAAUCCUUACCUCGGAGGUAGUGCCAGGUAAAAGGGCCAAUUCGUAUGCUAGGGUUACUCAAUGCCGCCAAUAAACGAGACGAGAAAGAAUCAGCGAUACUGUUGUCGUGCGCUUCGAUGGACGAAGGAUUCAUACCAGCGAAACCGAGCAAGAGAAAUUCAUGUUAUGAAAUCAAAAGCACCACCAGCACCACCAGCAGCGCCACCCACACAGUGCUGAGGUUCAUCGUCAGGAAUCAAACUCCGAGGACACAUUCUGCUACAUCCGACCUCGGGGGCCAUCUCCAACUCAAAAAUUGUCUGAUCCCAGUACCCCUUCUCCAUGCUAGCAAGCAUUCAAACCUUGUUCGAACUAAUCCGAAAUUGCAUCCAUCAAGAAUUCCCGCAGCGAUUCAGAAACGCGGCAUCCAGAGCAAGACCGACAUGUGGAGCAACCGCAGGCCCAUGCACACGUCCGAGGGAGACGCAGACUGCAUCAUGGACAGGAAAUCGGCGGAGGUGAGCAGCAGAAGCGGGGUGAGGAGGAAUCGCAGCAGCAACAUGGUGAAUGCUGGGCAGCAUGGUAUGGCCUGGCAUGGCCUGGUGAGGAGUAUGAGGUCUGCCACUGCAGCUUGGCAGGCUGCGAGAAAAAACCAAACCCUAGAAUCACACUGGCUCCAUCCAUCGUGCUCUCGCCAAAAACUCCCCUCGUGUCUUUCUGUU